CUCUCUCUCUCUCUCUCUAAUAAGAGCUGUCUUGGUGAUGGUGUCUCUUCACAGCCAUAGAACAUUGAUUAAGACAUGAGUUGGUACCAGACAGCAGUGUACUGUUGGAACAAGCCUAACCAUGCUGCUUGUUGGUUGAGGCUUUGGGUUAAGAAAGAAGUUGAAUGCUUUAAGCAGUAUUUAAUGGGCCAUACUAGUAGGGACAUGGAAGACGGUGGUACUGAAAGCAGUGUAGAUUAUUGAAGCUUGGUUCAAGAGGUUUCAGAGGGGAAGAAUAUUAAUAGAGAUCAUUCUUGUGAUAUUUUGGCAAAGAAUGUGGUUGUUUUCUGCCAUUGUCUGAAGAAUCUGACUGAGGCUAAAUUGAAGCAUUUUAGAUUAAUGGUCCUGGCAGAGGAGGUUUUGAGACAUCCUAGUAUUUAUUGGUGGAAGUGUUAUCCCAGUUCCUAGUAUCCACAUAGUCAAAGGGUCUGGAAUGUUCAGGUAGAAGUUCCUUCCCAAGCCCCCUCCCCUGGGAGUUGCCUCAGUCUAGACUCUACUCCAGAGAAAGCCCACCAAAUGAUGACCCCUCCCAAGAGAUGCUCAAGACCACUCCCACAGAGUAUUUAAACAGCAACCCAGGAACAAACAGGUGGUUUUCUGACCUUUCUUUCCAGUCUCCUCUCUGUGGGGCUGGAAAGCCAUUUGGAAACAUUAGUAUUCAUUGAAACUGGGCUUUUUUCUAAUUUUGUUUGAUUUGGCCUGAUUCAGAUUGUUGCAUUGGCAGAGAGGUUUAUCGAGGUGCAAAAACUUUUCAUUUGGAGGUUCCACCAAGAGGCUGAUUUUCUUACUGCUCCAGGGCCACAUGGUGCUCAGGGCCUCAUGUGAUUUUCAUGCUGUCCUAUGAAAGACACGACCACGCCAGGCUCCUGACCUGUUACCAGCACAAGGACCUGCCUUGUCCCGUGAGAUUCCUUUCUCAGGAGACGGAUGUUCAAGCACCUGCUGAUCUGGCCCUCAGUGGACUCACCUACAUGCUCACCUGGUUUCUGCAGCCAACUCUAGGAGUUUUAAGUUGGUCAGCUGACACAGAUUCCUGGAAAACUUUUGCUUGUUUGU